rnacentral:rRNA from 1 species
AUGAACGCUGGCGGCGUGCCUAACACAUGCAAGUCGAACGGAGUUGUCACCAUGAAGUUUUCGGAUGGAAUGGAGGCAACUUAGUGGCGGACGGGUGAGUUAACGCGUGGGUAACCUGCCUCAUACUGGGGGAUAACAGCUGGAAACGGCUGCUAAAACCGCAUAAGAUCGCAUCACCGCAUGGUGAGGCGGUUAAAUAUCGAAAGAUAGGUAUGAGAUGGGCCCGCGUCUGAUUAGCUAGUUGGUGAGAUAAGAGCCCACCAAGACGACGAUCAGUAGCCGGCUUGAGAGAGUGACCGGCCACAUUGGGACUGAGACACGGCCCAAACUCCUACGGGAGGCAGCAGUGGGGAAUAUUGCACAAUGGGGGAAACCCUGAUGCAGCGACGCCGCGUGAGUGAAGAAGUGCUUCGGCAUGUAAAGCUCUAUCAGCAGGGAAGAAGAUGACGGUACCUGACUAAGAAGCCCCGGCUAACUACGUG